rnacentral:lncRNA from 1 species
UACAACCUGUCCUUGUAUCCAAUUGAUGAACUGUCUUCACUUCACAAAGGUCAUCAUAAAACCCUUGCUUUGAACACAAAUAGUCUCGUUCUCAGAUAUUGUUUUUUACAUCUCUUCGAAUAUUUCUUUUACGAAUGCUAAAUCCUUUCUUUAAUGCAUAGGAGUUGCAUAGAUUAUAUGGUUCAACUUCAUUACAAACCUCCAUUCCCA